UGCGAUCAUACCACCAGCACUAAUGCACCGGAUCCCAUCGGAACUCCGUAGUUAAGCGUGCUCAGGCUAGAGUAGUACUGGGAUGGGUGACCUCCAUGGGUGACCCCCUGCGAAGUCCUCGUGUUGCA